AUUGAACGCUGGCGGCAUGCCUUACACAUGCAAGUCGAACGGUAACAGGUCUUUCGGGAUGCUGACGAGUGGCGAACGGGUGAGUAAUACAUCGGAACGUGCCUAGUAGUGGGGGAUAACUACUCGAAAGAGUGGCUAAUACCGCAUGAGAUCUAUGGAUGAAAGCAGGGGACCUUUGGGCCUUGUGCUACUAGAGCGGCCGAUGGCAGAUUAGGUAGUUGGUGGGAUAAAAGCUUACCAAGCCUACGAUCUGUAGCUGGUCUGAGAGGACGAUCAGCCACACUGGGACUGAGACACGGCCCAGACUCCUACGGGAGGCAGCAGCGGGGAAUUUUGGACAAUGGGCGCAAGCCUGAUCCAGCAAUGCCGCGUGCAGGAUGAAGGCCUUCGGGUUGUAAACUGCUUUUGUACGGAACGAAAAGUCUUGGGUUAAUACCCUGGGAUCAUGACGGUACCGUAAGAAUAAGCACCGGCUAACUACGUG
rnacentral:rRNA from 1 species